UUAAGAAUCUUGCGCAAUGGGGGAAACCCUGACGCAGCGACGCCGCGUGGACGAUGAAGGCCUUCGGGUUGUAAAGUCCGGUGAGCGGGGAAGAAUAAGCAACGGGUAAUAUUCGUUGUGAUGACGGUACCUGCCUAAAGCCCCGGCUAACUACGUGCCAGCAGCCGCGGUAAUACGUAUGGGGCUAGCGUUGUUCGGAAAUAUUGGGCGGAAAGGGCGUAUAGGCGGGGGAUUAAGUUGGGUGUGAAAUCCCUGGGCUCAACCCAGGAA
rnacentral:rRNA from 1 species